rnacentral:rRNA from 1 species
GAUCCAGACAACCUCGGGAAACUGAGGCUAAUCCGGAAUAGGGCUCUCAUCCUGGAGUGGAGAGAGCCUGAAACGCUCCGGCGCUAUAGGAUGUGGCUGCGGCCGAUUAGGUAGACGGUGGGGUAACGGCCCACCGUGCCAGUAAUCGGUACGGGUUGUGAGAGCAAGAGCCCGGAGACGGUAUCUGAGACAAGAUACCGGGCCCUACGGGGCGCAGCAGGCGCGAAACCUUUACACUGCACGCCAGUGCGAUAAGGGGACUCCAAGUGCGAGGGCAUAUAGUCCUCGCUUUUUGCGACCGUAAGGUGGUCGCGGAAUAAGUGCUGGGCAAGACCGGUGCCAGCCGCCGCGGUAAUACCGGCAGCACGAGUGAUGACCGCUGUUAUUGGGCCUAAAGCGUCCGUAGCUGGCCGCACAAGUCUAUCGGGAAAUCUCUCCGCUUAACGGAGAGGCGUCCGGUGGAAACUGUGUGGCUUGGGACCGGAAGACCAGAGGGGUAC